rnacentral:rRNA from 1 species
UUUUUUUUCAGCUCAGGAUGAACGCUGGCGGCGUGCCUAAUACAUGCAAGUCGAGCGAACGGACGAGAAGCUUGCUUCUCUGAUGUUAGCGGCGGACGGGUGAGUAACACGUGGAUAACCUACCUAUAAGACUGGGAUAACUUCGGGAAACCGGAGCUAAUACCGGAUAAUAUUUUGAACCGCAUGGUUCAAAAGUGAAAGACGGUCUUGCUGUCACUUAUAGAUGGAUCCGCGCUGCAUUAGCUAGUUGGUAAGGUAACGGCUUACCAAGGCAACGAUGCAUAGCCGACCUGAGAGGGUGAUCGGCCACACUGGAACUGAGACACGGUCCAGACUCCUACGGGAGGCAGCAGUAGGGAAUCUUCCGCAAUGGGCGAAAGCCUGACGGAGCAACGCCGCGUGAGUGAUGAAGGUCUUCGGAUCGUAAAACUCUGUUAUUAGGGAAGAACAUAUGUGUAAGUAACUGUGCACAUCUUGACGGUACCUAAUCAGAAAGCCACGGCUAACUACGUGCCAGCAGCCGCGGUAAUACGUAGGUGGCAAGCGUUAUCCGGAAUUAUUGGGCGUAAAGCGCGCGUAGGCGGUUUUUUAAGUCUGAUGUGAAAGCCCACGGCUCAACCGUGGAGGGUCAUUGGAAACUGGAAAACUUGAGUGCAGAAGAGGAAAGUGGAAUUCCAUGUGUAGCGGUGAAAUGCGCAGAGAUAUGGAGGAACACCAGUGGCGAAGGCGACUUUCUGGUCUGUAACUGACGCUGAUGUGCGAAAGCGUGGGGAUCAAACAGGAUUAGAUACCCUGGUAGUCCACGCCGUAAACGAUGAGUGCUAAGUGUUAGGGGGUUUCCGCCCCUUAGUGCUGCAGCUAACGCAUUAAGCACUCCGCCUGGGGAGUACGACCGCAAGGUUGAAACUCAAAGGAAUUGACGGGGACCCGCACAAGCGGUGGAGCAUGUGGUUUAAUUCGAAGCAACGCGAAGAACCUUACCAAAUCUUGACAUCCUUUGACAACUCUAGAGAUAGAGCUUUCCCCUUCGGGGGACAAAGUGACAGGUGGUGCAUGGUUGUCGUCAGCUCGUGUCGUGAGAUGUUGGGUUAAGUCCCGCAACGAGCGCAACCCUUAAGCUUAGUUGCCAUCAUUAAGUUGGGCACUCUAAGUUGACUGCCGGUGACAAACCGGAGGAAGGUGGGGAUGACGUCAAAUCAUCAUGCCCCUUAUGAUUUGGGCUACACACGUGCUACAAUGGACAAUACAAAGGGCAGCGAAACCGCGAGGUCAAGCAAAUCCCAUAAAGUUGUUCUCAGUUCGGAUUGUAGUCUGCAACUCGACUACAUGAAGCUGGAAUCGCUAGUAAUCGUAGAUCAGCAUGCUACGGUGAAUACGUUCCCGGGUCUUGUACACACCGCCCGUCACACCACGAGAGUUUGUAACACCCGAAGCCGGUGGAGUAACCUUUUAGGAGCUAGCCGUCGAAGGUGGGACAAAUGAUUGGGGUGAGCU